rnacentral:rRNA from 1 species
GAUGAACGCUGGCGGCGUGCUUAACACAUGCAAGUCGAACGAUGAAGCCCAGCUUGCUGGGUGGAUUAGUGGCGAACGGGUGAGUAACACGUGAGUAACCUGCCCUUGACUCUGGGAUAAGCCUGGGAAACUGGGUCUAAUACUGGAUAUGACUUCUCAUCGCAUGGUGGGGGGUGGAAAGAUUUAUUGGUCUUGGAUGGACUCGCGGCCUAUCAGCUUGUUGGUGAGGUAAUGGCUCACCAAGGCGACGACGGGUAGCCGGCCUGAGAGGGUGACCGGCCACACUGGGACUGAGACACGGCCCAGACUCCUACGGGAGGCAGCAGUGGGGAAUAUUGCACAAUGGGCGCAAGCCUGAUGCAGCGACGCCGCGUGAGGGAAGACGGCCUUCGGGUUGUAAACCUCUUUCAGUAGGGAAGAAGCGAGAGUGACGGUACCUGCAGAAGAAGCGCCGGCUAACUACGUG